GACGGAAGGUGCAAGCGUUGCUCGGAAUCACUGGGCGUAAAGGGUGCGUAGGCGGCCUGGUAAGUCUGAUGUGAAAGCCCACGGCUCAACCGUGGAGGGUCAUUGGAAACUGGGGGACUUGAGUGCAGGAGAGAAGAGUGGAAUUCCACGUGUAGCGGUGAAAUGCGUAGAGAUGUGGAGGAACACCAGUGGCGAAGGCGACUCUUUGGCCUGUAACUGACGCUGAGGCGCGAAAGCGUGGGGAGCAAACAGG
rnacentral:rRNA from 1 species